UGUACGGACGUCCGUACCAUGCUCUCCCUAAACUCCCUUAAGCCUCAUCUCCUCAUCUCCUCAGACCUCAGCCUGCUAACUAGCUACGUGGAGGCAUCCCUUCACGGCCGGCUUCUUAGAGGGACUAUGGCCGUUUAGGCCAAGGAAGUUUGAGGCAAUAACAGGUCUGUGAUG
rnacentral:rRNA from 1 species